UUGGGGACAGCCGGGGACAGCUCGGGGACAGCUCAGGGACAGCCAGGGACAGCCGGGGACAGCCGGGGACAGCUCGGGGACACCUUGGGGACAGCCGGGGACAGCCGGGGACAGCUCAGGGACAGCUCCAGAACAGCUUGGGGACACCCGGGGACAGCUCGGGGACACCCUGGGUACACCUUGGGGACACCCUGGGUGAUGUGGGGACAUCUCGGGGACACCCAGGGACACCUUGGGGACAGGUCAGGGACACCCAGGGACACCUUGGGGACAUCCUGGGGACACCUUGGGGACACCCUGGGGGUGUGGGGACACCUUGGGGACACCUUGGGGAUGUUGGGACACCUUGGGGACACCUCAGGGACUUCUUGGGGACACCUUGGAGACACAAUGAGGGUGUUGGGACAACUCAGGGACACCUUGGGGACACCCUGGGGACACCUGGGGGAUGUGGGGACACCUCAGGGACACCCUGGGGACACCUCGGGGACACCUGGGGGAUGUGGGGACACUUUGGGGACACCUCAGGGACACCCUGGGGACACCUCGAGGAUACCUGGGGGAUGUUGGGACACCUUGAGAACACCUUGGGGACACCUUGGGGACACCCUGGGGAGACCUUGGGGAUGUUGGGACACCUUGGGGAUGCUGGGACACCCUGGGGACACCUUGGGGAUGUGGAGACACCUCGGGGACACCUCGGGGACACCCUGGGGACACCUGGGGGAUGUUGGGACACCUUGGGGACACCCUGGGGACACCUUAGGGAGACCUUGGGGGUGUGGGGACACCUGGGGGAUGUGGGGACACCCUGGGGACACCUCAUGGACACCUCAGGGACACCUGGGGGAUGUGGGGACACCCUGGGAACACCUCGGGGACACCUCAUGGACACCUUGGGGACAGCUGGGGGCUGUGGGGACACCUUGGGGACACCUUGGGGACACCCUGGGGACACCGUGGCCAGGACAUUUACAAGGUCAGGGUGACGUGGGGACACGGCAGCAAAGGGUGGCAGUGACACAGGUUUGGGGUGACAGACGUGGGAGGUUC
rnacentral:lncRNA from 1 species